rnacentral:rRNA from 1 species
UGGGGAAUAUUGGGCAAUGGGGGAAGCCCUGACCCAGCAACGCCGCGUGAGGGAAGAAGGUUUUCGGAUCGUAAACCUCUGUCCUCAGGGACGAAAGAAAUGACGGUACCUGAGGAGGAAGCCCCGGCUAACUACGUGCCAGCAGCCGCGGUAAUACGUAGGGGGCAAGCGUUGUCCGGAACGAUUGGGCGUAAAGGGCGCGUAGGCGGCCUGUUAAGUCUGGAGUGAAAGUCCUGCUUUCAAGGUGGGAAUUGCUUUGGAAACUGGCGGGCGGGAGUGAAGGAGAGGUUAGUGGAAUUCCCGGUGUAGCGGUGAGAUGCGUAGAGAUCGGGAGGAACACCAGUGGCGAAGGCGACUAACUGGACUGUAACUGACGCUGAAGCGCGAAAGUGUGGGGAGCAAACA